UGUACAUCGGGGCGUGGAGCGUGGGUAAGAGGGGGGGUGGAAGCGUGAAUCGGAAUUACUGGGCGGAAAGCGCCCGCAGGCGGUUUGAUAAGUUAUAUGUGAAAGGCCCGGGCUCAACCUGGGAAUUGCAUUUAAAACUGUCCAGCUAGAGUCUUGUAGAGGGGGGUAGAAUUCCAGGUGUAGCGGUGAAAUGCGUAGAGAUCUGGAGGAAGACCGGGGGCGAAGGCGGCCCCCUGGACAAAGACUGACGCUCAGGUGCGAAAGCGUGGGGAGCAAACAGGAUUAGAUACCCGAGUAGUC
rnacentral:rRNA from 1 species